GAGGGUGUGAGUGCAGGAGCAAGAAAGUCUGUGUGCUCGCGUGUUGCGUGGAUGUGUGGGUCUGGGUGUGAGCCUGGGCCUCCGUGCACGCGUCUGAGGAUGUCUGUGGCAGUUUCACAGGGACCGAGCGUGAUUCUGCACGCGGGGCCAGGAGAGUGGGUGCCUUCAUGAAUGUAUUUCUGAAGGGGUUCACUCACUCAGCAACCGUCAGCCCCUCCCGCCUUUUCCUGAUGCCAACGUCUCCCCAGUGCCGGGCCAGGUCCCCAAACCGGAGAAGAGUGGGAUUUUAUGUUCUUGGAGCACAGUGAAGAGCUGCCACGGGAGAUGCCUUCCUUUUCCCUUGACCCCUUGGCUAAAUCCUGGUGGUCUUCCUGGAGGAAGCAAGGAAGGAGAGAAGUCCCUCCAGUCUGAGUGGCGAGUCUGGCCUCUCUCCCUGGCCCUGGUGGGUGUGGGGAGCAGGGGCCUUUUAGAGACCUCACAGGCAUGAAGGAUAUACCAUUAAAAGCUUUUGGGGGGCGCCUGGCUGGCUCAGCCUGUGAAGCAGGUGACUCUUGAUCUUGGGGUUGUAAAUUCCAGCUUCACAUUGCCUGUAGAGAUUACUUAAAAGUAAAAUCUUAAAACAAACAACAAAAAAGCUUUCGGUAUCUCCAAAUGAGGUUAUGCUCACAGUUCCAGAGACACAGGGUUAGGAAUGAAGUCAGAAAAUGCUUGUCGCGUGACUUUAACCUUUAGCACAAUUAUUUUGACGAACCUGGUUAUUGG